rnacentral:rRNA from 1 species
UACGUAGGGGGCAAGCGUUGUCCGGAAUCAUUGGGCGUAAAGAGCGUGUAGGCGGCCCGAUAAGUCCGCUGUGAAAGUCCAGGGCUCAACCCUGGAAUGCCGGUGGAUACUGUCGGGCUCGAGUUCGGAAGAGGUGAGUGGAAUUCCUGGUGUAGCGGUGAAAUGCGCAGAUAUCAGGAGGAACACCAGUGGCGAAGGCGGCACUCUGGGCCGGUACUGACGCUGAGGAGCGAAAGCGUGGGGAGCGAACAGG